CCGGCGUCUAAGGUAGGCUCCCACUACAUCACCUUACUGAUGAGUCCAGUAGUGGAAGCCGGGACGAAACGCCAA
rnacentral:hammerhead_ribozyme from 15 species